rnacentral:rRNA from 1 species
AGACCGAUAGCAAACAAGUACCGUGAGGGAAGAUUGAAAAGAACUUUGAAGAGAGAGUUCAAUAGUACGUGAAACUGUGUGGUGGUAAACGGAGGGGUUCUCGAAGUCUCUGCGGGGAACUCAACCUUGGUGCGGGGCGGUCUGGGCGUGUCCGAUCAGCGAUGACGGCGCGUUCUCUCCGGCUCUGCUCCCGGGUGCAUUUCCCCCGCAGUUUACGGCAGGAACCGUUUGGCUGGGACCGAAGGCCUCGGGUGAAGUUGUCGCUUCUGGUGGCAGCCCCGGGUGUCCUGGCUCCGAGCCCGACGGGUACGCGAGAGGACUCGUAUAGCGAGCAACGCUCUGUUGCGGUUCUCAUCUCUCUGCCGAGUAGGUCGGCGGCCCCUCCGACCCGUCUUGAAACACGGAC